rnacentral:rRNA from 1 species
UACGGGGGGAGCAAGCGUUGUUCGGAUUUACUGGGCGUAAAGGGCGCGUAGGCGGCGUGACAAGUCACUUGUGAAAUCUCCGGGCUUAACUCGGAACGGUCAAGUGAUACUGUCGUGCUAGAGUACAGAAGGGGCAACUGGAAUUCUCGGUGUAGCGGUGAAAUGCGUAGAUAUCGAGAGGAACACCUGCGGCGAAGGCGGAGACCUGGGCCAAUACUGACGCUGAGGUGCGAAAGCGUGGGGAGCAAACAGG